rnacentral:rRNA from 1 species
AUGAUCCAGAGAUUUCCGAAUGGGGGAACCCAACAUCUUUAAUAGGAUGUUACGAUUGUGUGAAUACAUAGCACAUUCGAGGUAGACGCAGAGAACUGAAACAUCUAAGUACCUGCAGGAAGAGAAAGAAAAUUCGAUUCCCUGAGUAGCGGCGAGCGAAACGGGAAAAGCCCAAACCAGCAAGCUUGCUUGUUGGGGUUGUAGGACUCCAAUAUGGUAGUUCUUUCAGAUAGUCGAAUGACUUGGAAAAGUCAGUCAAAGAGGGUAAAAACCCCGUAGACGAAAUGUGGAAGACACCUAGGAGGAUCCUGAGUACGGCGGAACACGAGAAAUUCCGUCGGAAUCCGGGAGGACCAUCUCCCAAGGCUAAAUACUCCCUAGUGACCGAUAGUGAACCAGUACCGUGAGGGAAAGGUGAAAAGCACCCCGGAAGGGGAGUGAAAUAGAACCUGAAACCGUGUGCCUACAACAAGUCAAAGCCCGUUAAUGGGUGAUGGCGUGCCUUUUGUAGAAUGAACCGGCGAGUUACGAUUGCAUGCGAGGUUAAGUUGAAGAGACGGAGCCGCAGCGAAAGCGAGUCUGAAUAGGGCGUUUGAGUAUGUAGUCGUAGACCCGAAACCAUGUGAUCUACCCAUGUCCAGGUUGAAGGUGCGGUAAAACGCACUGGAGGACCGAACCCACGUACGUUGAAAAGUGCGGGGAUGAGGUGUGGGUAGCGGAGAAAUUCCAAACGAACUUGGAGAUAGCUGGUUCUCUCCGAAAUAGCUUUAGGGCUAGCCUCGGAAUUGAGAAUGAUGGAGGUAGAGCACUGUUUGGACUAGGGGCCCAUCUCGGGUUACCGAAUUCAGAUAAACUCCGAAUGCCAUUCAUUCAUAUCCGGGAGUCAGACUGUGAGUGAUAAGAUCCAUAGUCGAAAGGGAAACAGCCCAGACCACCAGCUAAGGUCCCAAAAUAUAUGUUAAGUGGAAAAGGAUGUGGGGUUGCACAGACAACUAGG